rnacentral:rRNA from 1 species
CACGUAGGGCGCAAGCGUUGUCCGGAAUUAUUGGGCGUAAAGAGCGUGUAGGCGGCCAGAUAGGUCUGCUGUGAAAACUCGAGGCUCAACCUCGAGAUGUCGGCGGAAACCAUUUGGCUUAGAGUCCGGAAGAGGAAAGUGGAAUUCCUGGUGUAGCGGUGAAAUGCGUAGAUAAUCGUAAGGAAGACCAGUGGCGAAGGCGGGUCU